AACGAACGCUGGCGGCAUGCCUAACACAUGCAAGUCGAACGAGACCUUCGGGUCUAGUGGCGCACGGGUGCGUAACGCGUGGGAACCUGCCCUUAGGUUCGGAAUAACUCCCCGAAAGGGGUGCUAAUACCGGAUAAUGUCUUCGGACCAAAGAUUUAUCGCCUUUGGAUGGGCCCGCGUUGGAUUAGCUAGUUGGUAGGGUAAAAGCCUACCAAGGCGACGAUCCAUAGCUGGUCUGAGAGGAUGAUCAGCCACACUGGGACUGAGACACGGCCCAGACUCCUACAGGAGGCAGCAGUGGGGAAUAUUGGACAAUGGGCGAAAGCCUGAUCCAGCAAUGCCGCGUGAGUGAUGAAGGCCUUAGAGUUGUAAAGCUCUUUUACCCGGGAUGAUAAUGACAGUACCGGGAGAAUAAGCUCCGGCUAACUCCGUG
rnacentral:rRNA from 1 species